rnacentral:ncRNA from 2 species
GAGGGUUCUGAUUUCUGACGGGUUUAAUGUGGAGCACCACAGUGAGAUCAGGAUUUAUAGUAAGCCGACCGUCUGGGCAGCAUUU